GAUGAACGCUGGCGGCACGCUUAACACAUGCAAGUCGAACGAGAUCUGUUAUGAAGAUUUAUUGGAUUAACAGUGAAAGUGGCGGACGGGUGCGUAACGCGUGGGAAUCUGCCCUUGGGUUCGGAAUAACAUCGGGAAACUGAUGCUAAUACCGGAUGAUGACGUAAGUCCAAAGAUUUAUCGCCCAGGGAUGAGCCCGCGUAGGAUUAGCUAGUUGGUGAGGUAAAGGCUCACCAAGGCGACGAUCCUUAGCUGGUCUGAGAGGAUGAUCAGCCACACUGGGACUGAGACACGGCCCAGACUCCUACGGGAGGCAGCAGUAGGGAAUAUUGGACAAUGGGGNGAACCCUGAUCACGCAAUGCGCGUGAGUGA
rnacentral:rRNA from 1 species